CCUACGGGAGGCAGCAGUGGGGAAUUUUGGACAAUGGGGGCAACCCUGAUCCAGCAAUGCCGCGUGAGUGAAGAAGGCCCUCGGGUUGUAAAGCUCUUUUGUCAGGGAAGAAACGGUGGUUCCUAAUACGAGCUGCUAAUGACGGUACCUGAAGAAUAAGCACCGGCUAACUACGUGCCAGCAGCCGCGGUAAUACGUAGGGUGCAAGCGUUAAUCGGAAUUACUGGGCGUAAAGCGUGCGCAGGCGGUUAUAUAAGACAGAGGUGAAAUCCCCGGGCUCAACCUGGGAACUGCCUUUGUGACUGUAUGGCUAGAGUGUGUCAGAGGGGGGUAGAAUUCCACGUGUAGCAGUGAAAUGCGUAGAUAUGUGGAGGAAUACCGAUGGCGAAGGCAGCCCCCUGGGAUAACACUGACGCUCAUGCACGAAAGCGUGGGGAGCAAACAGGAUUAGAUACCCUGGUAGUCCACGCCCUAAACGAUGUCUACUAGUUGUCGGGACUUAAUUGUCUUGGUAACGCAGCUAACGCGUGAAGUAGACCGCCUGGGGAGUACGGUCGCAAAGNUUAAAACUCAAAGGAUUGACGGCUGAGAGNGCGAGACGACACGAGGGAGGAGG
rnacentral:rRNA from 1 species